rnacentral:rRNA from 1 species
UACAGAGGUCUCAAGCGUUGUUCGGAUUCAUUGGGCGUAAAGGGUGCGUAGGUGGCGCUGUAAGUCGGGUGUGAAAUUUCGGAGCUUAACUCCGAAACUGCAUUCGAUACUGCGGUGCUUGAGGACUGGAGAGGAGACUGGAAUUCAUGGUGUAGCAGUGAAAUGCGUAGAGAUCAUGAGGAAGACCAGUGGCGAAGGCGGGUCUUUGAACAGUUCCUGACGCUGAGGCACGAAGGUCAGGGGAGCAAACGGG